AUACUUAGCUGACAGGGGAGAUACCAUGAUCAUGAAGUUGGUUUUUCCAGGAUGAGAGUUACCCAUUGCACUCCGGAUGUGCUGACCCCUUCGAUUUCCGCAAAUGUGGGAAACUUGACUGCAUAAUUUGUGGUAGUGGGGGACUACGUUCACGCUCUCCUCUU
rnacentral:snRNA from 1 species